UUACGGCCAUAUCACGUGAAAACAUCGUUUCUCGUAAGAUUACCGAAGUUAAGCAACGUCGAAACUGAGCAGUACCUAGAUGGGUGAACGCUUGGGAAUAUCAGGUGCUGUAAG